GUUUCACAUCACGUGGAAGGUGGUGGGGAUGUUGGAGGGGUGCAUAAUUACACCCUGCAAAUUCUCCUAGCAGGCCACAAGCUUCAACCUUUAUGCAUCUCGGUGAGAUGCCACCCAUCCUUGGAGGCUUACUGCAAGCUCCACCCCUCUGUGAAGCUUCCUCUGCUGCCCAGCACUGCCUGGUGUCUCAGGGUCCCUGCACUCACGGGUCCCCACAGCGAGCCCCAGAGGUGUGGGAGCGCCUCGAGCCGCAGACUCUGCCUUCUACCUCUCCUGGUUUCACUUGGUGUCGCCAGCAUCAUGUCUUCUACAUGACAGAAACUCAAUAAACACUACAAACCCACAUGCCUGGAGUGGGAAAGGACCUUCGAGAUCAAGUGGCCCAGUGGGUUUCUAACAUUUUGUUUUUAAAAAGUGGAGAGAACACUUUGUUCUUUUCAAAUGAACUAUUAUGAAGUCUCCUCCCCUGUGGAAAGCAGAUAAGAAACGAGCUUCCUGAUUGAGGAGAGGGCAGAGGGCUGGAAGCCCCAUGUCUGAUCUUUCUCUACCCCACUCAGCUCCCUGAGGCAGCGCUUGAAAAAUGACUGAUCUGUUCAGACCCUUCACUUUAUACACAACGAUGCUGAGGGCCAGACAAACACAGUGACCCCACUAGGUUCACACUUAUAUCAGUUGCAAAUUUGGGAGGAGAACUAGGAUCUCCAAAGUAUUUCCUGAGUGACCUGCCCAAUUUAUGAUAUGGCUUUACUUUUGUCUGAAAGAAGGAAGGGAGGAAAGAAGGAAGGAAGGGAAGGAAGGAGGAUAGGUAGGAAGGAAGGAAGGGCAGGAAAGAAGCAAAUAGUGGGGAGAAAGGAAAUAAAGAAAAACAUGGAAAUUCA
rnacentral:lncRNA from 12 species